rnacentral:rRNA from 1 species
AGUAGGUCCCAAGGGUUGGGCUGUUCGCCCAUUAAAGCGGUACGCGAGCUGGGUUCAGAACGUCGUGAGACAGUUCGGUCCCUAUCUGCCGUGGGCGUUGGAGAAUUGAGAGGAUUUGCCCCUAGUACGAGAGGACCGGGGUGAACGGACCUCUGGUGUAUCUGUUGUCCUGCCAAGGGCAUUGCAGGUUAGCUACGUCCGGACUGGAUAACCGCUGAAGGCAUCUAAGCGGGAAGCCGGCCUCGAGAUGAGCUCUCCCAUCGUCUAGAACGAGUAAGACCCCUGGUAGACCACCAGGUUGAUAGGCCGGAUCUGGAAGAGCGGUAACGCUCGCAGGAGACCGGUACUAAUGGGUCGAGGGCUUGACGGA